rnacentral:pre_miRNA from 1 species
CAACUACUCCCUCUGUCCCAAAUUUCUUGUCUUAGAUUUGUCUACAUACGGAUGUAUCUAAUACUAAAAUGUGACUUGAUACAUCAGUAUCUAGACAAAUCUAAGACAAGAAUUUUGGGACGGAGGGAGUACUUU